CGACGCGUGGGCAUGCAUACACAUUACAGUGAACUGGAUCCUUCGGGAUUAGUGGCGGACGCGGUGAGUACGGGAACGUGCCCUUUGGUUCGGAACAACUCAGUGAAACUUGAGCUAAUACCGGAUGUGCCCUUCGGGGGAAAGAUUUAUCGCCAUUGGAGACGGCCCUGCGUUCUGAUUAUGCUAGCUUGGGUGGGGUAAUAGUGCCCACCAAUGGCGACGAUCAGUAGCUGGUCUUGAGAGGAUGAUCAGCCACAUUGGGACUGAGACACGGUCCAUACUCCUACGGGAGGCAGCAGUGGGGAAAUCUUGCGCAUGGGCGAAAGCCUGACGCAGCCAUGCCGCGUGAAUGAUGAAGGUCUUAGGAUUGUAAAAUUCUUUCACCGGGGGACGAUAAUGACGGUACCCUGGAAAAGAAGCCCCCGGCUAACUUCGUUCCAGCAGACGCCGUAAUACGAAGGGGGCUAGCGUUGCUCGGAAUUACUGGGCGUUAACGGGAGCGUAAGCGGGACUGGUUACGUUUAAAGGUUUAAAGCCCCAGGGGUUCCAACCUUGGAAAUUUCCUUUGGAAACUGGGCAGUCCUUAAGUCCGGAAAAGGUAUUUGACCUCCGAUGUGACGUG
rnacentral:rRNA from 1 species